CUUCACCGAACCCAGCCACAACGGCCGCUCACGACCCUGCCCGUAGGUAGCGAGCAGGGCCUGCGCCUC
rfam:Streptomyces sp. DSM 15324 genomic scaffold PRJNA299231_s032, whole genome shotgun sequence.